rnacentral:rRNA from 1 species
GAUGAACGUUGGCGGUGUGCCUAAUACAUGCAAGUCGAACGGAGAUUGUAGCAAUACGGUCUUAGUGGCGAACGGGUGAGUAACGCGUUGGUGAUCUGCCUCGAAGUGUGGAAUAACGAUUCGAAAGAAUCGCUAAUACCGCAUAGUCUCUCUUUUUCCAGAAAUUUGAGAGUAAAGGAUUUAUUCGCUUUGAGAGGAGCCUGCGUCCCAUCAGCUAGUUGGUAAGGUAAUGGCCUACCAAGGCGAUGACGGGUAGGGGACCUGAGAGGGUGGCCCCCCACAAUGGAACUGAAACACGGUCCAUACACCUACGGGUGGCAGCAGUAGGGAAUAUUAGAAAUGGACGAAAGUCUGAUCUAGCAACACCGCGUGUGCGAAGAAGGCCUUCGGGUUGUAAGCACGUUUUGGUAAGGAUUAGGAAGGAAGUAGUACUUCCAGAAUAAGUACUCGGCUAACUACGUGCCAGCAGCCGCGGUAAGUCUGUAGUCGU